UCACUGGGAGUAAUCUCGGCGCUGACCUCGCCUUCCCGGAGCGGAAGUGCCUCCGGCUACACACAGCUCCCGGACUACAUUUCCCAGAAUCUCCAAGCGGAAGCGCCUCGGAUUCCACGCAUCACCUGGACUACAUUUCCCAGAAUGAAGUUCGGGUGACCGCACUUCCCACCAGCUGUCUUGGUUUUGGCAGAAGAGCCGAUUCGGAUUUAGAGUCAGUUCUCCGGUGCUGAAACUGUCAGAAUUUCUUUUCGUUUUAUUCAUUUCCUAAAGUCACGAGAAAAUAAUGUAAGCAGGCAGUUUUCCGGGUUAAAAGUAGCUACAAAUUUUUUAAAUUCGCUGUAUAAGAGAGAAAAGUGAGGCUUGCACUACGAAAAUAAAAACCCAACAUUUUUAGCAGAGGCAAAGGGUAAACAAAAAUGGGAAACGUAAAAGUGACCUAGGCUGAGCUGCUUAACACAGAAUUUAACGCUGGCUUUCAAACUUGUUUCCAAAGCCGGUUUUCCAAAUAUCAGCGAUGAAAACUGUUAGACAAAAACGCAGUUUAUUGCCUACUGCUGUAAGGGAAAACGCCACCUCUGCCGAGCUUCAAGCACCUUGACAAAGUGUCGGCGGAGACAGGAAGACGACGUUGGGACUGACUGAGAUUUAGAAGUUUGGCUUAAGGCGGGUUUUUAAAUGCAAAAGGCUUGAUUGGGAUUGCGUGACGGUUUUGACGUUGCUGGGCAGGAUUGGUGGAACAGCAAGGAUUUACAGAAGCACCAGAGAUGUUUUGAAGCUGUGCUUUAAGAUAUAGGCAGUGAUCAAUCGCCCUGAACCAGCUGACCUGACCACAGGAAUGUGCCUGCACAGAUGAGACGUGGAGGUGUCCCAGAGUUCCCUUUGCUUCAUUACCACGCUAAGACUGCCACCCAAGGUCCUGAGUUGCCUCGGGCCUCAUGGUUGGGAGAGGCUUUGGUCUGAGGGCUACUGGACGGCAGGUGCUUGUUUCCUUCCUGAGUUCCCUCAGGCCUCACCAGCUCACCCUAGGAGUUGACCACAAUCGCUGAUGACUGCGGCAACUUUUUUUUGUUUGAGGAUUGGCAGGCAAUAUUAUUUCUUAGGACCAAGGUGACCUCUGAUUAUGUGCUUAUUCCAACUACUCCCGCAUCAUCUGGAAGCAGCAACCCCUGCAAAACCUGCUGGUGCCAAAUGGAAAUCUUCAUAUAUCCAAUUAUUUUAGUAUAUCACCAAUAAGCACACUUUUAGUCAUUUGGAGCCUGCUUAUUUUGUAUACUCUGCAAAAUUGCAUCCAACAUCUGCUAGCAACCCUGGAGAUAGACCCUAAACAUCCACUGCCUUUCAGAGUCCUGUGACCCCAAGACUCCACCCUGUACUGCCCAGUGACACCACUUAGACCCAUAAGCCCCCUCUCCAAUCCCCACCUUCCCAUGGGCGCUCCUUUGCCCUCUCCUUCUCUCCUCAACGGCGGUGGCCACACACCGCAGUCUCUGGAAGGUCACAGAUGCUUCCUGUCAAAGCACCACCCCAAUGAACCUCAUUGGGUGCUGCUGCCACAUCCUGGUUAUUAUUGUUUUCCUUGAUCAGCCCCAAAAUCUUCCCACUCCAAGAACAAAGGCCCGGGAGAGAACAGGAGAUAAGACCAAACUGGAUCAUGAAUUGUGGUAUCAUUGGUCUUCUGCAUUUUGACUGUUUACUUGAAUUAGUUUUUUUGUUUGUUUUGGGGGGCUUUUUUUUUUCUUUUUAGGGUCACACUCCUAGC